CUCGGCUAUGGCGACAUGUACCCUCAGACAACAUCUGGAAUGCUAGUGGGUGCGCUGUGCGCCCUGGCGGGUGUGCUGACCAUUGCUAUGCCUGUUCCUGUAAUUGUGAACAAC
rfam:Danio rerio chromosome 25, GRCz11 reference primary assembly.